rnacentral:tRNA from 1 species
AUAGAUGUAGUUUAAUUGAUAAAAUAUCUAACUCCAAAUCAGAAUGAUGUGGGUUUGAAUCCUACCGUCUGUG